CUACGGGAUGCACCAGUGGGGAAUAUUGCACAAUGGGCGCAAGCCUGAUGCAGCCAUGCCGCGUGUAUGAAGAAGGCCUUCGGGUUGUAAAGUACUUUCAGCGGGGAGGAAGGGAGUAAAGUUAAUACCUUUGCUCAUUGACGUUACCCGCAGAAGAAGCACCGGCUAACUCCGUGCCAGCAGCCGCGGUAAUACGGAGGGGGCAAGCGGUAAUCGGAAUUACUGGGCGUAAAGCGCACGCAGGCGGUUUGUUAAGUCAGAUGUGAAAUCCCCGGGCUCAACCUGGGAACUGCAUCUGAUACUGGCAAGCUUGAGUCUCGUAGAGGGGGGUAGAAUUCCAGGUGUAGCGGUGAAAUGCGUAGAGAUCUGGAGGAAUACCGGUGGCGAAGGCGGCCCCCUGGACGAAGACUGACGCUCAGGUGCGAAAGCGUGGGGAGCAAACAGGAUUAGAUACCCCGGUAGUC
rnacentral:rRNA from 1 species